AACAGGAUGACAUUGACAAGACACAAACACAUAUAUACAUGUUCAUCAGAUAUGCUGGAUUUGAGUUUCCAAUGGAUUUGAGCUGAGCUUCCAGCUGGGUGCUGGAUUUUAGUUUCCCCAGUCGCACUAGCUGCUGCCUGUCUGUCAGAAAGCUGGUGAAAUCGCGACGCGGAUUUAUAUCAUGAGCACCAAACAACGUUUGAAAUAGGCUAAUUGUAUAAAUUUGCACAAAAUAAUAAUGACAUAUUUUUUCAGUCUUUCUAUGGAUCUUUUGAAAUUUGAGUUUGCAUAAAAGUAUUAAGUAAUGAUAUGGUUUAUAUAUAAUUAUAUGCUGUAUAUAUUUUCAAUAUUUCUAUGGAUCUUUUUCUUAAGGUUUGUUUCUUCUUACCAUGGUCAUAAAGAGUGAUUAUUUGAGUUACAGACUUCCUGACAGUAGAGACCAGACUCUAAAGACCGCUGUGUAUAAAACACAAGAUCAGGAGUUCCUAAAAAACCCUCAAACAAGCCUGCCUGGCAUCAACAGCCAUAUCAUGGGAGAACACUGAGAUCAUUAAAAAAAAUUAGUAUUAUGUGAA